AUUGAACGCUGGCGGAAUGCUUUACACAUGCAAGUCGAGCGGCAGCGCGGGGGCAACCCUGGCGACGAGUGGCGGACGGGUGAGUAAUGCUUGGGAAUCUACCCAGUAGCGGGGGAUAACCUAGGGAAACUUAGGCUAAUACCGCAUACGACCUACGGGUGAAAGCGGGGGAUCGUAAGACCUCGCACUAUUGGAUGAGCCCAAGUCGGAUUAGCUAGUUGGUAGGUAACGGCCUACCAAGGCUACGAUCCGUAGCUGGUCUGAGAGGACGAUCAGCCACACUGGGACUGAGACACGGCCCAGACUCCUACGGGAGGCAGCAGUGGGGAAUAUUGGACAAUGGGGGCAACCCUGAUCCAGCAAUGCCGCGUGUGUGAAGAAGGCCUGCGGGUUGUAAAGCACUUUCAGUA
rnacentral:rRNA from 1 species